rnacentral:rRNA from 1 species
AGUAGAGUGAUCGAAAGAUGAAAAGCACUUUGGAAAGAGAGUCAAAAAGUACGUGAAAUUGUUGAAAGGGAAGCGCUUGCAACCAGACCUGUCCGCCGGCGAUCAACCCCCGUUCUUCGGGGGUGCACUCGUCGGUGAUCAGGCCAGCAUCGGUUCGGGCGGUCGGACAAAGGCCCUGGGAAUGUAGCUCCUUUCGGGGAGUCUUAUAGCCCUCGGUGCAAUGCGGCCAGCUGGGACCGAGGACCGCGCUUCGGCUAGGAUGCUGGCGUAAUGGUUGUCAGCGACCCGUCUUGAAACACGGACCAAGGAGUCUAACAUCUAUGCAAGUGUUUGGGUGUCAAACCCAUACGCGUAAUGAAAGUGAACGGAGGUGAGAACCCUUCAGGGCGCAUCAUCGACCGAUCCAGACGUCUUCGGAUGGAUUUGAGUACGAGCAUAGCUGUUGGGACCCGAAAGAUGGUGAACUAUGCCUGAAUAGGGUGAAGCCAGAGGAAA